AACGAACGCUGGCGGCAUGCCUAACACAUGCAAGUCGAACGGUAGCAGGAAGAGCUUGCUCUUUGCUGACGAGUGGCGCACGGGUGAGUAACGCGUGGAUAUCUGCCUAUGAGUGGGGGACAACUUUCGGAAACGGAAGCUAGUACCGCAUACGCUCUACGGAGGAAAGUGGGGGAUCUUCGGACCUCACGCUCAUAGAUGAGUCCGCGUCUGAUUAGCUAGUUGGUGGGGUAAGAGCCUACCAAGGCGAUGAUCAGUAGCUGGUUUGAGAGGAUGAUCAGCCACACUGGAACUGAGACACGGUCCAGACUCCUACGGGAGGCAGCAGUGGGGAAUUUUGCACAAUGGGGGAAACCCUGAUGCAGCGAUGCCGCGUGUGGGAAGAAGGCCUUUGGGUUGUAAACCACUCUCAAUUGGGAAGAAGGGAUGAGUGUUAAUAGCAUUCUGACUUGACGGUACCUUUAGAAGAAGCACCGGCUAAUUUCGUGCCAGCAGCCGCGGUAAUACGAAAGGUGCAAGCGUUGUUCGGAUUUACUGGGCGUAAAGAGAUCGUAGGUGGUUUGUUAAGUCGGAUGUGAAAUCCCAGGGCUCAACCCUGGAACUGCAUUCGAUACUGGCAGGCUAGAGUUUGGGAGGGGUAAGCGGAAUUCCGUGUGUAGCAGUGAAAUGCGUAGAUAUACGGAGGAACACCUGAGGCGAAGGCGGCUUACUGGACCAAUACUGACACUGAGGAUCGAAAGCGUGGGUAGCAAACAGGAUUAGAUACCCUGGUAGUCCACGCCCUAAACGAUGUCAACUAGCCGUUGCGGGUAUCGACCCCUGCAGUGGCGAAGCUAACGCGAUAAGUUGACCGCCUGGGGAGUACAGUCGCAAGAUUAAAACUCAAAGGAAUUGACGGGGGCCCGCACAAGCGGUGAAGCAUGUGGUUUAAUUCGACGCAACGCGAAGAACCUUACACAUGUACUGAUACACA
rnacentral:rRNA from 1 species